GGCCAGUUAGCUCAGUCAGUAGAGCAUGGCGCUAACAACACUAAGGUAGCGGGUUCUAUUCCCGUUUGGUCC
rnacentral:tRNA from 1 species